GACAGAGGAUGCAAGCAUUAUCCGGAAUGAUUGGGCGUAAAGCGUCUGUAGGUGGCUUUUCAAGUCCACCGUCAAAUCCCAGGGCUCAACCCUGGACAGGCGGUGGAAACUACCAAGCUAGAGUACAGUAGGGGCAGAGGGCUCGUAGAGCCGGUGGAGCGGUGAAUGCGUAGAGAUCGGAAAGAACACCAAUGGCGAAAGCACUCUGCUGGGCCGACACUGACACUGAGAGACGAAAGCUAGGGGAGCAAAUGGG
rnacentral:rRNA from 1 species